CGGAACGUGCUUGGGAAGUCUUCUUCCACGCCACGCGUCCCCGCGGCGACGGAAAUCCCACUUUCCUCGCCUCGCCGCCGUAACAAACAAAUCUUUCCUCUUUUCUUCUUCCUCCUGCUCCCGGUCUGCCCGCCGCUAACCCCUACGAGCAGGCAACCCCUCCAGCCCCAAAGACAUACCACCCCCCAGGGCCUCCAGAUCGGAGUUGGCGAGUCCCGGGCCCUACCACACCUGCUGCUCCGAGUGAGGCGGCCGGGUUGGGGGUUGGUCGCUUCCUGGCUGGCCGCCCACGACCAGUUCUUGAUCCCGGACUGCUUCAAGCGGGCCGGGUCUGGUCGUUUCUUGGGUUGAACUGAUUGGUUGCUGCUGACUUGGUCGAUCUCCUCUUCUUCCAUUGCUGCUUCGCCGUGUCGGCUGGCCAUUGCAGACAAGGUGUUUGUUUGGCGGCAGCGGGGGCUGCUGAGCUAGGCUGCUCGCUGGCUUCUUCCUUGGUGUUCGGCGGUAAGCCAGGUAGGUAGAUCUGCUCGGAGGGACGGCCAUUCGGCAGUUGCCGUAUCAAAGCUAGAUAGACAGGCAGAUCUUGAGAGACGCCGAUCACUGUUCUGCCGCUUGGACGGACCCUGUUGAUUCGUAGCUCUCAAGCUUUACCAUGCUGAGAAAUCCUUGCUGAGUGUGGAUAAACUUCACAUAGGAGGUUUCUGAGGCCGAACCAGGCGCUUUUGACUUGUGAGGGCUGAGGAUCAGUAAUUAAUUAGAUCAUGUGGAAACCGUUCAGGCAGCUCAUGCCCAAAGAGCAUUCCGGCCCUUCUGGCGGCCUCGAGGGCCGAACCAUCGAUGUCGGCAAUGUGAAAGUGCACGUCCGGGAAGCCAUUGCCGAGGGUGGCUUCUCGUGCGUGUACCUCGCCCGAGACCUGACCAACCCGGCGAAGCAGUACGCGCUCAAGCAUGUCAUUGUCCAUGACAAGGAGUCGCUGGACCUGGUGCAGAAGGAGAUCACGGUGAUGAGGGCGCUCAAGGGGCACCCGAACGUGGUCACUCUCGUCGCGCAUGCCAUACUGGAUAUGGGCCGUGGGAGGGAGGCACUUCUGCUGAUGGAGUUCUGCGAGAGAUCGCUGGUUUCUGCCUUGGACACUAGAGGUACUGCAGGGUUCUAUGAUGAGGAGCAGGUUGCUCUCAUUUUCCGGGAUGUUUGCAAUGCGGUCUUCGCGAUGCACUGCCAGACACCACCUGUUGCUCACAGGGACCUAAAGGCUGAAAAUGUGCUUCUUGGUGCUGACGGGGCUUGGAAAUUAUGUGAUUUUGGUAGUGUAUCAACAAACCAUAAGUGCUUUGAUAAACCAGAGGAGAGGGGCAUUGAAGAAGAUGUCAUCAGAAAACAUACAACUCCUGCUUAUAGGGCUCCUGAGAUGUGGGACUUGUACAGGAGGGAAGUUAUUAGUGAGAAAGUAGAUAUAUGGGCUCUUGGAUGUCUCAUGUAUAGAAUCUGCUACUUAAAAUCAGCUUUUGAUGGAGAAUCAAAGCUUCAGAUCCUCAAUGGGAACUAUCGUAUCCCUGAAUUACCGAAGUACUGUUCUUCCAUUACAAGUCUGAUCGAAGAGAUGCUUCAGUCCUCUCCAGAUGCCAGACCAGACAUUACACAGGUAUGGUUUCGUGUUAAUGAGUUACUUCCUUUGGAGCUGCAAAAGGAUUUACCUGAUGGAUCCCCAUCUGGAUCAGCAUUUGAAUUGCAAACUACUGAAGAUGAAGGACCCUCUCCAUCAUGGUCAAGAGACAAUGUGAGAAGUACACCUCCGAAAGGCCCUUCCAGUUUGAGGUCACAAGUUCCUGUUGAGAGUAAGGGUUCUGCAGGUGCAUUUUGGUCAACUCAACAUGCACAAGAACUAGCUUUUGCGGAUGACAAGGGGUCAGUUCUAGAUCAAGAGCCCAUAUAUGAUGGCAUAACAAAGCAACCUCAGGCAAAGAACCAGAACACGACACGGAAUGCAUACAGACAGUCUCUUUCUGCUUCUGUUGAUAGUUCUCCUGGGGAUUUUGAAAUAAGGUUUUCUCCAAAUGGUUCAGAAUAUGGCCUAGAGAAAACCCAAAACACUAAACCAGAUAACAAAACCAGUGCACAGACUGCUACUUUUAGCUCCUUUGUGGCAGACUUUGAUAAUGUUCAGGUGAGCUCAGAGGACAAUGCCGGCAGUUUAAACACGACAAGUAAAUUGAAAGAACAACAGCUGGAGGCCGAAGUAACUUUACUCAAGGAGCAAUUGAAGAUAGCAAACUUGGAGAAGGAAGAAAUUUCACUGAAGUUUGAUAGAUUGUCAGCCAUUUGCUCCUCUCAGAGGCGGGAGAUACAGGAACUUAAACAAGCUCUAGCCACAGCUUCUGCACCAGCGCCAGUUAAGGAGUUGAAAGAAAAUUUGAAGGCUGAAUCCUCCCCACCCAGCACAAGCCUUGACACUCCGCCAAGGGAGAAGAUUGCAGGAACCCCACCAGAGCUCCGGCAAGGUCUAUUUACAUCAAGUCCAGGGACACCAAGCCCAGAUCCCAAGCCAUGGUCCGCUUUUCCUGAAGAGCCGAAAGCUCAAGCAGUUGUAAAAUGUGCCCGCCCGAGGUCGGUCCGAACUUUAAGGGCAUCACAAAGCAACAAAGCCGGCUCGCUUAGUCAGUCAAAAGCAAACUCUGGUGCCGUCCCCUUUGCCUUCGGUCAAGAUAGCUUUAAGGCUGUACCUUCUGGCACCGUGCCUUCUGAGAUGUCAAAUUUGGGGAAUGCUUCUCAGUCCCUCAACACUCUGAAGGCUGAAGUGGAGAAAGAUGCACCCUACCAACCAGCUGGAUGGACUGGGUUUUAAUGUGCUAUCGCCAAUAAGGAUAUUUGGUAUCUGAUGAGACUAUACUCCUAUAGAAUUACAGAAAUAUGGUCCAUCCACUGUAUCAUAAUCAUAUAAAUUGUGUGGUGUUGAAAGGGAGCAAAAUGAGCCCAACCUAGGAGUGCCAGAAUUGACGUAGCGCUCAUUGAGCUGAUAUCGCAGCCAAGUAUCAGAGGAGCCUAGUUGAAUCCAGAUCAACAACAUAAUCUUGUGAAAAUUCUUGCCUAACAAUGCUGUUCUGUUGGUUUACUUUUUUUUAUCUCUCAUGCAAUGAAAGUCACUUCAUCAUUACCUUGACUAGAGCCCAUAUGCUGAAAUGAGAACGGUACUCUUCUAUUGUCAUCCCCCCGUUUCCUACUUCCAGCAUGUCUGGGUCUGAAGCAGAAACAUUCAAAGAGAUCACUGUGAAUUGUCAUCACAAGCACAAAAAAAAUAUUGUUGGGAACAAAAACCCCAGAUCCUACAUCCGUCUUCCUACACACUUGCGCAUGAUCAAAAUUUAUCAUAGGCCUACAGAGACUAACCAUUCCAUCCACCAGGCCCUGCAUAAGGUGCCCACUUGUCGUUCUUGUCAGCGUUGUCCGUCAUGCUGCCCAAUUUGCAGUAGUAUUUCAGGAUAGGAAUUAGAAUCUCCAUCUAAACUUUGCAGAAGUUUGGAAGGGGCAGUAAAAGUUCUCCAGGAUGUAAACUUGUUCACCUUUCCCAUGUGUUCUUGAUGUCUUCUGUUGUCCUCCAGCUGUUUGCAAAGCUGCCUGCCCAUGUCGCUGGAUCAUCCACACCCCUGCACAUCAUUGUUGUUUUUUCUCAAACAGAUGAAUGGAAUUCGAACCCUCCCUUUUGGUCUGUUGAAAAGCAAGAAUCAGUUACCAUUCGCAAAGGGACAAGAAAACGUCCCUUCCAGAAUUCAUAAGGGCUUCACUCAUCCUGUUAUAUCUGCAUUUUUGUUGCGAAUAUGUCAAAAUAUCUAAAUCCGGAUGAAAUUUGACAAGCUUCUAAGUUCUGUAGUUGUAAAGGUUACCUUGUUAGUGGGCUGAUGUUUUGGUUGUUGCAGUUGUCAUACUUCAGGUAGUCAAUCCCCUUGUAACACAACAAUUUAGAAGAAUCAGUUUUUCUCCUGCUUUGGAACCCCUACCAGGAAAACCAUUCUGGACAUGUGUAAGUUUUAGAUGAUCUAAUGAACAUUUUAAUUGGUUUACCCAAGCUGCCAAAGUUCUCGCAUCUUGGUCUUCGUAUCCUAGCGAACCGGGCUGCAGUCUGCUGCAAGUUCGCAGUCUGAAAAGAGAGAGUGGUGUGAUUUAAGCAAGGGAGAGAUCCAUGUGGACUGGGGGGACUUGUCACGUGUUCCCAGUCAUAUUAGAAACAUUUUGACUGGCUAAUUUUCUGCGGGUUCUCUAUAAAGCGCAUACCCUGC